ensembl:misc_RNA
AGCGAGCCAGGAGCUUUAUUUAGCAGCACUGAAACCCUACAGACCUGGACAGGACUCCUCAGCUGGUGUCUUUGCUGACCAAGAGGACAAAAGCUCGUGAGCAGGCUCUGCCCCUCCGGGAAGAGAGCCA